rnacentral:tRNA from 1 species
GCCUUUGUGGUGUAACGGUAGCACAUUCGGAGUGUAUUCAAGAGCUCCAGGAUCGAGUCCCGGCAAGGGCA